rnacentral:rRNA from 1 species
AGUCACUGACAUUAGAUACCCGGGUAGUCCCAGCCGUAAACAAUGUGCGUUAGGUGUGUCGGUAACCACGUGUUACUGAUGCGCCGAAGAGAAAUCGUGAAACGCACCACCUGGGAAGUACGGUCGCAAGGCUGAAACUUAAAGGAAUUGGCGGGGAGCACCACAACAGGUGGAGCCUGCGGUUUAAUUGGAUUCAACGCCGGACAUCUCACCGGAUAAGACAGCUGAAUGAUUGUCAAUCUGAAGGUUUUACAUGACUAGCUG